GCAUUGGUGGUUCAGUGGUAGAAUUUUUCGCCUGCCGUGCGGGAGGCCUGGGUUCGAUUCCCGGCCAAUGCA